GCAAAACCCCGAAAAAUACUCAUGGAAUAGGCCAACAUUCUGUCGUUGGAUAACGUUGAUUAUUUAUGGGCUGUGUUGAAUUAAGAUAGGCCUUUAAGAAACGCUUGUGUUUUAUUAAAUUAAUUAACAGCAGCUUUGGGAUACUAGUAUUGCGAUCGCUGCAUCCUAGCAUAUAGGAUACUGAACAACAAAAUUGAUGUAUUCUUCCCAUCGUCUGGAAUAAGAUCUAUGGUAAUGGUUUACAUUGUACCUAUAUCGGAUCUAGACUUUUAUAUCUUUUAGUCCCCUUCUUAGUCCUAAUGUGUGUUAAAGUGCAUGUAAUACUACCAGAGAUUGAUUUUGAGUUAUUGUGUAAUAGUAAUUUAUCAGUUUCGUGUAUAAAUUAUUUUUAAAUGU
rnacentral:misc_RNA from 1 species